rnacentral:rRNA from 1 species
UACGUAGGGACCAAGCGUUGUUCGGAUUUACUGGGCGUAAAGGGCGCGUAGGCGGCAAUUCAAGUCACUUGUGAAAUCUCUGAGCUUAACUCAGAACGGUCAAGUGAUACUGCUUUGCUAGAGUGCAGAAGGGGCAACCGGAAUUCUUGGUGUAGCGGUGAAAUGCGUAGAUAUCAAGAGGAACACCUGAGGUGAAGACGGGUUGCUGGGCUGACACUGACGCUGAGGCGCGAAAGCUAGGGGAGCGAACGGG